rnacentral:rRNA from 1 species
AACGAACGCUGGCGGCAGGCUUAACACAUGCAAGUCGAGCGCCCCGCAAGGGGAGCGGCAGACGGGUGAGUAACGCGUGGGAAUCUACCCAUCUCUACGGAAUAACGCAUGGAAACGUGUGCUAAUACCGUAUACGUCCUUCGGGAGAAAGAUUUAUCGGAGAUGGAUGAGCCCGCGUUGGAUUAGCUAGUUGGUGGGGUAAAGGCCUACCAAGGCGACGAUCUGUAGCGGGUCUGAGAGGAUGAUCAGCCACACUGGGACUGAGACACGGCCCAGACUCCUACGGGAGGCAGCAGUGGGGAAUAUUGGACAAUGGGCGCAAGCCUGAUCCAGCCAUGCCGCGUGAGUGAUGAAGGCCCUAGGGUUGUAAAGCUCUUUCACCGGUGAAGAUAAUGACGGUAACCGGAGAAGAAGCCCCGGCUAACUUCGUGCCAGCCGCCGCGGUAAUAC